AAUGCGUAGAUAUCUGCAGGAACACCCGUGGCGAAGGCGGCUGACUGGAUCGCAACUGACACUGAGGAACGAAAGCUAGGGGAGCAAACAGGAUUAGAUACCCUGGUAGUCCUAGCCCUAAACCAUCGGAACUUGGGGUGGCCCGCGUAGGCGGGUCGUCCCGUAGCUAACGCGUUAAGUUCCGCGCCUGGGGAGUACGGUCGCAAGACUGAAACUCAAAGGAAUUAACGGGGGCCCGCACAAGCGGUGGAACAUGUGGUUCAAUUCGACGCAACGCGAAGAACCUUACCUGGGCUUGAACCGCUACUGACCAACGGUAGAAAUAUCGUCUUCCCGCAAGGGACAGUAGUAGAGGUGCUGCAUGGCUGUCGUCAGCUCGUGCCGUGAGGUGUUGGGUUAAGUCCCGCAACGAGCGCAACCCUUAUUCGUAGUUGCCACCCGCAAGGGGGAACUCUACGAGGACUGCUCCGGAUAACGGAGAGGAAGGUGGGGAUGAGGUCAAGUCAGCAUGGCCUUUAUGUCCAGGGCUACACACGUGUUACAAUGCGCGCCACAAAGCGUCGCGAACCCGCGAGGGGGAGCUAAUCGCAAAAAAGCGCGCUCAGUUCGGAUUGCAGUCUGCAACUCGACUGCAUGAAGCUGGAAUCGCUAGUAAUGGCGCAUCAGAUCGGCGCCGUGAAUACGUUCCCGGGCCUUGUACACACCGCCCGUCACAUCACGAAAGUCGGCUGUGCCAGAAGCCGGUGGGCUAACCGCAAGGGAGCAGCCGUCCAAG
rnacentral:rRNA from 1 species